UCACUCAUAUGUGGAAUUUAAGAACUAAAACAAAUGAGAAAAGAAAAAAAAAAAAGAGAGAGAGAGAGAAGCAAACCAAGAAACAGACUCUUCUUAACUGUGGAAAACAAAUUGAUGGUAACGAGAGGGGGGAUGGGUAAAAUGGGCGAUGAGGAUUAAGGAGGGCACUUACGAUGAGCACCCGGUGAUGUAUGGAAUUCCUGAAUCGCUAUAUUGUACACCUGAAACUAGCAUUAUCACACUGUAUGUUAACUAACUGGAAAAAAAGAGAGAGAGAGAGAGAGA